CCUACGGGAGGCAGCAGUGAGGAAUAUUGGUCAAUGGACGCAAGUCUGAACCAGCCAAGUAGCGUGAAGGAUGACUGCCCUAUGGGUUGUAAACUUCUUUUGUAUGGGAAUAAAAUGAGACACGUGUGUCUUUUUGUAUGUACCGUAUGAAUAAGGAUCGGCUAACUCCGUGCCAGCAGCCGCGGUAAUACGGAGGAUCCGAGCGUUAUCCGGAUUUAUUGGGUUUAAAGGGAGCGUAGGUGGGUUGUUAAGUCAGUUGUGAAAGUCUGCGGCUCAACCGUAAAAUUGCAAUUGAUACUGGCAGUCUUGAGUACAGUUGAGGUAGGCGGAAUUCGUGGUGUAGCGGUGAAAUGCUUAGAGAUCACGAAGAACUCCGAUUGCGAAGGCAGUUUACUAAACUGCAACUGACAUUGAGGCUCGAAAGUGUGGGUAUCAAACAGGAUUAGAUACCCUGGUAGUC
rnacentral:rRNA from 1 species